rnacentral:rRNA from 1 species
GACGAACGCUGGUGGCGUGCUUAACACAUGCAAGUCGAACGGAAAGGCCCUGCUUUUGUGGGGUGCUCGAGUGGCGAACGGGUGAGUAACACGUGAGUAACCUGCCCUUGACUUUGGGAUAACUUCAGGAAACUGGGGCUAAUACCGGAUAGGAGCUCCUGCUGCAUGGUGGGGGUUGGAAAGUUUCGGCGGUUGGGGAUGGACUCGCGGCUUAUCAGCUUGUUGGUGGGGUAGUGGCUUACCAAGGCUUAGACGGGUAGCCGGCCUGAGAGGGUGACCGGCCACAUUGGGACUGAGAUACGGCCCAGACUCCUACGGGAGGCAGCAGUGGGGAAUAUUGCACAAUGGGCGGAAGCCUGAUGCAGCAACGCCGCGUGCGGGAUGACGGCCUUCGGGUUGUAAACCGCUUUCGCCUGUGACGAAGCGUGAGUGACGGUAAUGGGUAAAGAAGCACCGGCUAACUACGUG